AUGACCGCCUAUACUCAUACC
rnacentral:siRNA from 1 species